rnacentral:piRNA from 1 species
UCACUUAAAAUUGGAAAGUGUGAGUCUC